rfam:Lupinus angustifolius cultivar Tanjil chromosome LG06, whole genome shotgun sequence.
UUAUCCCCUUGAGUUCCUUUCAAACACUUCGCAUGGUUAUAUAUAUAUAUAUAUAUAUAUAUAUAUAUAUAUUAUACCAUGCAUGAAUGCUAUACCCUAGUGAAGUGUUUGGGGGAACACUAGGUGCCAU